GUUAAAUCCCUUUGUUUAUGAACCCUAGUCACACCUCCCUGCAUGUGACUUGCACAGCCUUCCAUAAACACUUCCUGUAAAGAGAGCCCUAUUUAGGCUUUCUUUAUUGCAAGUUCUGUUUAAUUAAGAUUUUCUUAUCCCCUGCUAUGUUAAUAGCUUGCUAGACCCUGCAAGAGCCUCCUGUAUGUGAUUAAAGUUCAAUUUAGAGAUUGAGAUACAAUUAUUUAAGGUAAAUUACAUCUGUUUGAAAGUGAAACCAGUUUUUUUUUUUUUUUCAUGCAGGCUCUGUCAAUCAUAGCCAGGGGAGGUGUGGCUAGGGCUGCAUAAACAGAAACAAAGUGAUUUAACUCCUAAAUGGCAGUGAAUUGAGCAGUGAAAUUGCAGGGGAAUGAUCU